AUGAAAUCCUCUCAAUCACCGUACCCAUCAAUGCACGGUGCUCCUCUGAGAUGGAUGCUCGCCCUAGCAGAUCCUUCAGCUCCUCCGACCGCGCACCAGACGGCGCCGGACUCGUCCGAUGGCCCUUUUCGAAGGUCGGACGCGGAGGGCUUUGGGGGGCCAUAUGACUACCUUCCGGCCCCGCCGGAUUUGGAGAAACCCUCCGUGAUGAUACCUCAGGGUCGCCCGCCUCGCAAGGCGGUACGGCAGGGGGAGGCGUUCCGCUCUCCAUCAUCUCCGGAAGAAGAUCCCCCGAAGACGAGCUCUGCUGAGAAGGGCUAA
rnacentral:rRNA from 1 species